rnacentral:lncRNA from 1 species
CAAAAAUUACAAAGACAAGAAAUAAUUAAUUUUUUCUUACCUUGGUGUGGCGUGAAGACAAAGAAAGCAAUGAAAAUGGUCUUUUGCACAGACAAGAGUAGAAGAUUGCUAAAGAAGGGGGAACAAAUAUCUUCUAGCUUUAUCUCUCUUGUAGGGUGGAAUAAAUUGCUCUCUAAAGUUGAUUUAAUAAUUUACUUAAGGUAUACUUAAAUAAACUUCAGAAGUAAUUUAUUUCCCUUUCCUAGAAGGAUCUAAUUUCCAAUUAAUGAGGGAAUCUACAUCAAAACAAGAAACAAUCCUAUGUUUUCUAAAAGCAAGAAGAUCUCUACACCUGUUGCCCUUUCAUGUGAGCAGCCUAAUAGGUGUGGGGGCAUUUGUGGAGCCUAAAAUAAUCAAGAAAAAUAUGGAGGCGACAUGUGGAUUUUGGGAUAAGAAAGACAAAAUUACUCUCGAAGCACACCAGAACUCCCACGCACAAGUAGUGGACAGUCACGACUCAAUUAAGGUCAAAAGUGACCAAAAUAGGUAUUUAUUCAAAACCUAUUUCAUCCAUCCUCAUCAAAUCCUCUCUACUAGGUAACCCUCAAUUAUUCUUUCAAAUUAGAAUUAAUUAACUAAAUUACUUGAUUAAUUUCCUAAUUAAUUGAUUAAUUUUCUAAUUAAUUUUCUAAUUGAUUGCAAGAUAUUAUUUUGACAUAAUAUCUUGCAAUUAGAGCCAAAACGUUUGAAAUUUGCAUCCACAUUAGUUUAGAAGAUGACUCUUGAGAAGAAGAAUCUUUGUUUGAUUGAGUUUCUUCAAGUGCGGCAUAUGACAGUUAACCACUAUUUCACUUGUUUUUGCCACCUACGGAAUUAUAGCCACUAAUGUUUUUAGGCUUAACACUAUUGGUUUCUUCUAGACUUUCCAUUUGUUAUGUAAUAUUGACUAAUAAUAAGUGAGAGAGAGAAAUAAGAUUGCUACAAUAUUGUAGAAAUUAAAACAGAUUGUCACUCAAAAGUUUUAACAAGUAUAGGAUAAACUAUACUACUGUAUAAUAACCAUAUAUCAGUUAAUAAUGAUAAUUAUGCGCAGAUUUAAUUAAAGUAUAAAACAAUUAAUAUCUAUCAGUAUGCAAGUUUAGACAAAGGGGUGUGAUAUCCACACACCCCUUUUUACUUCUCCCACACCUUUUUGCUUUUCGGUCGUCGAAUCGAAUGAAUUAAAGAAGAUCAACGGACAGAAAUUAACAAAUGGUGUGUGAGAAGUAAAAAUGGGCAUGUGGAUAGCACACCCCUAGACAAAUCACGUCUAUUCCACGAAAUUAUAAUUUAAGCAAUUCAAUACUUUUAAUUGAUGACAGUUUAAUAUUUAAGAGUUAAUUAUCAACCCCAGAAAAUAAAUGACAAAUAAGCAAUAUUAAAGUGCUUUGGUAGCGAAUAAAAAAUAAUAUGCAAAGAAUCAAAGAUGCAAUGAACGCAGCAUUAUAAACACACUUUUUAGCAACUAUAUUAGUAAUUUAAGAACCAAAUAAUUAACGACAUGAGUGAAAUGGUUCAACUGUUAUUUAGAUGCAAUCAAUGAAGGGCAGGGUUAGCCUUCAACGACAGGAAAACUAUAAUUAUUAGGGCUUUCAGAGCACUGUGAAAACAGAUUGUAAAAAUUCGCAAUUAUAUUAUCAUACUUCUAUGGCUUUAAAUUGUGAAAUAUAUUGCAGGAAUAUACCAACUAUUUAUAUGAUCAAAUAUAAUAAAUUAAUGUAUAAUCACUAUCAGACUUAAGAAAAUUAAGUUAGGAAAAAGGAAUAAGAAUAUAUGGCGUGUGAACCAAAGAGAAGUGCAAUGUCGCUGCCCUAAAGUCGUAGACGCCUCCCUACGUGCAGGUUAUGGUAGCGCCUACAACUCCAAGAUACAACUCAAAGCCUCACAGGAUGUCUGAUCCAUUAUGCACGCCAACGGAAGACGAGAUUGCCAAGUAGUGAACAAUUGCGCAAAAAUUAUAAAACAGGAAUUGUAGGAAUGUAAAUUGACUAAGAGAGAUGUGAGAAGUGAAUGAGACAGAAUAGUUUUUACAUAUUCUAUUUUCUAUCUGAGGUUUUUUAUUAAAGCACUUCUCAUACCCCUUUAGAAAAGGAUUAUGAAUCUUCAAAUAAACCACCUCUCUUAAAUAUUAAAAAUAAAUAAAAUAAUAAUAAGUUUUGAAUCUUUAAAAUAAAAUAUAACUAAAAUAACCAACAAAGUGGGAUCUACAACUAGUCCCCAUUUUUACAUGAUCCCCUUGGAUAAAGGACCUGAUAUUAAGCAUAUAUUUAGCUUAUCACCUAAUAUAAUUUCACAGAUAACCAAAUCACAUGUAAUACAAGACAAGAUCUGUUGUACCAAGUACCAACCCCAAGGGCUGGCCCUGGCUCAUGUAGGCAAGGCAAUCGUUCGAGGCCUCAAAAAAAUAAAGGUGAUAGGAGCAUAUUUAUGCGACUUAGUUAACAUGUUUUCUUGCAUUUACUUAGUUAGUUAUUGCUUAUAAGAGUGUUUUAAGCUAUUUUCGUGUGUUUGUAGGUCCUAAUAACAAAGUUGGAAAGAAAGUGCAUUUUGGUGCAAUUUGAAGCAAUUUUGGGCCAAAAUGGAUUGCAUGCAUAUGGAGCAAGUGGGAUGGACGUUUUUGGUGUUUUAAAAAUGGUUUCAACACAUGCAAAAAUUUGAAUAAUGAAGUUGAAGUGUGGAAGUGUGCAGAUACAUACACUUAAGGAACAAUUUGAAAGGAAAAGAAGUGAAAUAUGUCAUUUGUUGGAUUGUUUUACAAGUUGUAUUCACAUUGUCAGCAACUACAAACAUUAUUGCAAGCUGAAAUGAUGCAUAGCAUGUGUGUAGAGGUGUAAAGUGGCCAAAAGUUGAUGUUUG